rnacentral:rRNA from 1 species
CACUCCUGCGGGAGGCAGCAGUGGGGAAUUUUGGACAAUGGGCGAAAGCCUGAUCCAGCAAUGCCGCGUGAGUGAAGAAGGCCUUCGGGUUGUAAAGCUCUUUUGUCAGGGAAGAAACGGUGAGAGCUAAUAUCUCUUGCUAAUGACGGUACCUGAAGAAUAAGCACCGGCUAACUACGUGCCAGCAGCCGCGGUAAUACGUAGGGUGCAAGCGUUAAUCGGAAUUACUGGGCGUAAAGCGUGCGCAGGCGGUUUUGUAAGUCUGAUGUGAAAUCCCCGGGCUCAACCUGGGAAUUGCAUUGGAGACUGCAAGGCUAGAAUCUGGCAGAGGGGGGUAGAAUUCCACGUGUAGCAGUGAAAUGCGUAGAUAUGUGGAGGAACACCGAUGGCGAAGGCAGCCCCCUGGGUCAAGAUUGACGCUCAUGCACGAAAGCGUGGGGAGCAAACAGGAUUAGAAACCCCUGUAGUCCCA